GCCGGGUGCGGUGGCACGCGCCUGUAAUCCAAGCUACCGGGAGGCUGAGGCUGGAGGAUCGUUUGAGCUCAGGAGCUCUGAGCUGCAGCGGACUAUGUCGAUCGGGUGUCCGCACUAAGUUCGGUAUCGAUAUGGUGCUCCUGGGGGAGCCCGGGACCACCAGGUCGUCUAAGGAGGGGUGCACCGGCCCAGGUCGGAAACGGAGCAGGUCAAAGCCCCCGUGCCGCUCAGUAGUGGGAUCGCGCCUGUGAAUAGACGCUGUAGUGCAGCCUGAGUAAUACAGCGGGACUCAGUCUUUU
ensembl:misc_RNA Metazoa_SRP Metazoan signal recognition particle RNA